UAUCAGAUGUGCAUCAGGACUGGUGCCCU
rnacentral:piRNA from 1 species